GCACAGACUGGAGUGUAUAAUGAUGGGUGUGAUACACUGGUCAUUCACAAGGGGCUGCUGUAUCCUCGCCAAACGCUCGCAGAAGCCCGCCAGCUCCAUUCUCCCGCAGGAUGGACCUCCCGCCUCGUCUUAAGAAAGAGCAGUGAGGAAGGAGACAGAAGUGGACGAAGCUUUAUAGGAGUUUAUUCUCCGGAGGCCGGAUUGCCUGUGUGGACCCCAGCUUGCCAAACAUAGGGGCGCGUGGACUGUUCCCUGCUCCUCCACACUUCUGGGAGGAGGUGCCUUCAAAAAACAUCCCCCUCGUCCAGCCUCCGGGCCCUGAUUUCCCCCUGGCUAGACAGCCCCAGCGCACCACUUGCCUUUUCUGUGUCAGUAUUCUGUCUCUUUACCGAAAGAAGAUGGACUCCUGUGUUGAUGUGCUGUUUCUGCUGCUAAAUGAUGCCACACUGGAGGGAUUGUUCCAGGAUCCUGCCGAGAUACUGUCUGCCAGAGAGAGAACCGCUUAUACUGGAGCUGAAGGGGUUUUCCUUUGUCCUCCAGGCCUGGCUCUACCUUUUUUCCAUUGCAUGGUCCAGCACACAGAAAUCCCCAGAGGCAUUUCCAAAAGGAUAUAG
rnacentral:lncRNA from 1 species